AUUGAACGCUGGCGGCAGGCCUAACACAUGCAAGUCGAGCGGUAGAGAGAAGCUUGCUUCUCUUGAGAGCGGCGGACGGGUGAGUAAUGCCUAGGAAUCCGCCUGGUAGUGGGGGAUAACGUUCGGAAACGGACGCUAAUACCGCAUACGUCCUACGGGAGAAAGCAGGGGACCUUCGGGCCUUGCGCUAUCAGAUGAGCCUAGGUCGGAUUAGCUAGUUGGAGAGGUAAUGGCUCACCAAGGCGACGAUCCGUAACUGGUCUGAGAGGAUGAUCAGUCACACUGGAACUGAGACACGGUCCAGACUCCUACGGGAGGCAGCAGUGGGGAAUAUUGGACAAUGGGUAAAGCCUGAUCCAGCCAUGCCGCGUGUGUGAAGAAGGUCUUCGGAUUGUAAAGCACUUUAAGUUGGGAGGAAGGGUUGUAGAUUAAUACUCUGCAAUUUUGACGUUACCGACAGAAUAAGCACCGGCUAACUCUGUGCCAGCCGCCGCCGUAA
rnacentral:rRNA from 1 species